rnacentral:ncRNA from 1 species
AAAAAGACGAUGACGAGAAAAGUAAAUGAGGUCAAUGCACAACAGAGAGCUCCGGGCGCUGAAAAGGAGUGUGUAUUUACUCAUUGAAACAAGACUCCGAGUAGCACGCUGGAUUGAUACAUGAUAGCGUGACAGGCGCUCCUGUUACAGAGCUAAAGUAUAAGCAAAGUAAUCUUUGUCGUACUUGAAGAGGUUAAUAUGGUGACAUAUUAGCAAACUGGGGUGGCACCACGAUUUAGAAUUUUAAAAUCUCGUCCCUAAG